UACGUAGGGUGCGAGCGUUAAUCGGAAUUACUGGGCGUAAAGCGUGCGCAGGCGGUUUUUUAAGCCAGAUGUGAAAUCCCCGGGCUUAACCUGGGAACUGCAUUUGGAACUGGAAGACUAGAGUGCGGCAGAGGGGGGUAGAAUUCCACGUGUAGCAGUGAAAUGCGUAGAGAUGUGGAGGAAUACCGAUGGCGAAGGCAGCCCCCUGGGUCGACACUGACGCUCAUGCACGAAAGCGUGGGGAGCAAACAGG
rnacentral:rRNA from 1 species